ensembl:lncRNA
CAUUAGUAGCCCUCCCUGGGUUCUGGCUUCUCACUCCACACAUUCUCCCUGAUUAUCUUAUCCUCAUUCCCAGCUGGAACCACCACCUCACUCCGACCCAGAUCACUCUUUUAAGCUCUAACUGCCCACAACUGCCCAUGGGACACAUCUUCUUAGUUGUUCCACAGGCACCUCAAAAUCACCAUCUUGUUAACCAGUUUUCCUGUCCUCUUACCUAAACCCAGUCUCAUCUCCCCCAUCAAAUCAGUCACCAAAGGUGAAUGGCUCAAGGAACAAAUAUGAUCCAAGCUGAACCAAGCAGAUUCUACUAAGAAUUUACAAUGAGGACCCAGAAGAUUCUAAACAGUGUUGCUCCUCAGAGGGUGAAAACUUGGGUGUGUACAGAACCACCCUGGAAUGACAGCAGGUUUAGCAAGCUGAAUGAGGCCUGUAUCCUACAAAGAAGAAAUGGGAGACUUGUACCCAGGAGGUACAAGGAAACAGAAGCACAGAGAGCUCCAGUUACUUAUCCAAAGUCACACAGGAAGCAAGUUACUGAAUAACUGAGCUGAGAUGUAAAGUCUAGAGCCUGAAGCCUGCUACCUCUGAAGAUGUGUAGGAAGUGCUAAGGGCUCAGGGAGCUGGGGUCCUAAAUCAACUCUCCAACUUUAUCUUUAUCCCUGGUUGCAUCAAAGUGGCCAUAAUUAACUCCUUACUGUUUCCAUAUUCACCACAUUCUUUGUACCUCUGACUGGAAUGCCCUUGCCUUCUUGCCCACCUAACAAUUAAAAUAAUAACAUUGUUGAACAUCUGUUGUAUAUGCUGUGACUGUUUUGUGUGCUUGAUAUGUAUUUGCUCCUUAAUCUUCAAUGACCACCUCUUGAGUUGGGUAUUAUUAUUAUGACUAUUAUUAUGAUUAUUAUUCUUAUCCAUUAAAAGGUAUGCUAUAG